rnacentral:rRNA from 1 species
AUGGCGGCCGCCCCCGCGGGCCCCCAGAACCGCUGCGUCUUCGUUGGGAACAUUCCGUACGAUGCGACGGAGGAGCAGCUCGUGCAGAUAUGCGAGGAAGUCGGGCCGGUGGUCUCCUUCAGACUGGUUGUUGAUAAGGAAACCGGAAAGCCGAAAGGUUAUGGAUUUUGUGAAUACAAGGAUGAAGAGACAGCUCUAAGUGCACGCCGGAACCUUCAGGGUCAUGACGUUAAUGGUCGUCAGUUACGUGUUGAUUUUGCUGAAAAUGGGAGGAACACUGACAGAAAUAGAGAAAAGGGUCGUGGAGGACCGGGAAUGUCAUCUACUGUUGAUGCUCAGAAACAAUUAACCACAACUCCCGCUGUAGGGGACACCAGCCUUCAUCAGCUUAUUGGUCUUCCACCGGCAAUACAUGCUGCAUCUGUGAUGGCUGGCGUUCUUGGGGGAGCUCAAACUGCAAAUGUACAAAAUGGUUUACCUGUCCAAUUUGGGCUUGGAAACGACCCUCUUACCCAUUACUUGGCCAGGAUGUCAAGGCAUCAGUUGUAUCAAAUCAUGUCUGAGUUGAAGACCCUAACUACUCAAAAUAACGACCUUGCCAAAAAACUGCUGCAAGGAAUUCCACAGCUUCCAAAGGCCCUAUUUCAGGCACAGAUAAUGCUCGGGCUGGUGACACCUCAGAUGAUGCAGAUGGCUAAGAGCCAACAGCCCUCUAGCUCGUUGGCACAAUCUUCUCACCUCAAUGAAUCAUUUCCGCAGCCAGAUGCUGUGCUACCAAUUGUUCAUAGACCUCCACCAAACCCUAAUGCCAUGCAGGAACAAACUGCACCGCUGCAUAACUUUCCUCAGUAUCAGCAUUCAUCUCAGCCUCCAGUCAAAAUGUUUCCGCAUGGACAUCAGCCUGGGGUGCUGGCACACCCUCCAAUGCUAUCUCAGCCCUUCGGCACCUCUUCCAGUGUUCCUACUCAACCCCUUGUAAACUCAGGAGGCUUGAUAUCACAAGUUCAGCCUUCAUUUUUGACACAGCACCCUAGACCACCAGUUAUGCCAACUAAUGUACAGCAACUACCCUUGACCAAUCCUCAUCUCCCCCAGGUUGGUGCUGAACCUGAGAUACUCCCCAAUGAGAUUAGAUUGCCUGAUCGAGCUAGUCAUCAGGCAGAGUUAGACCAUCCCUCGAAAUUGAGAAAAUUGGAGGAUGGAACAUCAACGCCAGGAAUUGUAAACAAUAGUCCUGCUGUUUAUUCUGCUCCAUCGCAGGUAGUGGUCCCUACUGGACCAUCAGGGAGCUAUAGUUCUGGUGCUGUUCACUUCCAGCAACCAGAGAAUGAAGCGCCUCAGCUCACACAGGACGACGAGUCAGCCCUUCUGCAGCAAGUCUUACAACUAACACCUGAGCAGCUGAGUUCAUUGCCAGUGGAGCAGCAGCAGCAGGUGCUACAGCUUCAGAAGAUGCUAUCAGCUGGUAAAUAG